rnacentral:rRNA from 1 species
AGGGUUUGAUCAUGGCUCAGGAUGAACGCUGGCGGCGUGCUUAACACAUGCAAGUCGAACGAACCUUCGGGUUAGUGGCGGACGGGUGAGUAACGCGUGAGAAUCUGCCCUCAGGAGGGGGAUAACGGUUGGAAACGACCGCUAAUACCCCAUAUGCCUAUUGGUGAAAUGAAUUUCGCCUGAGGAUGAGCUCGCGUCUGAUUAGCUAGUUGGUGAGGUAAUGGCUCACCAAGGCUUCGAUCAGUAGCUGGUCUGAGAGGAUGAUCAGCCACACUGGGACUGAGACACGGCCCAGACUCCUACGGGAGGCAGCAGUGGGGAAUUUUCCGCAAUGGGCGAAAGCCUGACGGAGCAACGCCGCGUGAGGGACGAAGGCCUUUGGGCUGUAAACCUCUUUUCUCAAGGAAGAAGAUAUGACGGUACUUGAGGAAUAAGCCACGGCUAAUUCCGUGCCAGCAGCCGCGGUAAUACGGGAGUGGCAAGCGUUAUCCGGAAUUAUUGGGCGUAAAGCGUCCGCAGGCGGCUUUUCAAGUCUGCUGUUAAAACGUGGAGCUUAACUCCAUCAUGGCAGUGGAAACUGAAAGGCUUGAGUAUGGUAGGGGCAGAGGGAAUUCCCGGUGUAGCGGUGAAAUGCGUAGAUAUCGGGAAGAACACCAGUGGCGAAGGCGCUCUGCUGGGCCAUUACUGACGCUCAUGGACGAAAGCCAGGGGAGCGAAAGGGAUUAGAUACCCCUGUAGUCCUGGCCGUAAACGAUGAACACUAGGUGUCGGGGGAAUCGACCCCUUCGGUGUCGUAGCUAACGCGUUAAGUGUUCCGCCUGGGGAGUACGCACGCAAGUGUGAAACUCAAAGGAAUUGACGGGGGCCCGCACAAGCGGUGGAGUAUGUGGUUUAAUUCGAUGCAACGCGAAGAACCUUACCAGGGUUUGACAUCCUGCGAACCUCUUAGAAAUUUGAGGGUGCCUUCGGGAAUGCAGUGACAGGUGGUGCAUGGCUGUCGUCAGCUCGUGUCGUGAGAUGUUGGGUUAAGUCCCGCAACGAGCGCAACCCACGUUUUUAGUUGCCAGCAUUUAGUUGGGCACUCUAGAAAGACCGCCGGUGAUAAACCGGAGGAAGGUGUGGAUGACGUCAAGUCAUCAUGCCCCUUACACCCUGGGCUACACACGUACUACAAUGCUACGGACAAAGGGCAGCAAACUCGCGAGAGCUAGCAAAUCCCAUAAACCGUGGCUCAGUUCAGAUCGUAGGCUGCAACUCGCCUACGUGAAGUAGGAAUCGCUAGUAAUCGCAGGUCAGCAUACUGCGGUGAAUACGUUCCCGGGCCUUGUACACACCGCCCGUCACACCAUGGAAGUUGGCCAUGCCCGAAGUCGUUACUCCAACCCUUGUGGAGGAGGACGCCGAAGGUGGGGCUAAUGACUGGGGUGAAGUCGUAACAAGGUAGCCGUA